GCUCCCGGAUGUUAGCGGCGGACGGGUGAGUAACACGUGGGUAACCUGCCUGUAAGACUGGGAUAACUCCGGGAAACCGGAGCUAAUACCGGAUAGUUCCUUGAACCGCAUGGUUCAAGGAUGAAAGACGGUUUCGGCUGUCACUUACAGAUGGACCCGCGGCGCAUUAGCUAGUUGGUGAGGUAACGGCUCACCAAGGCGACGAUGCGUAGCCGACCUGAGAGGGUGAUCGGCCACACUGGGACUGAGACACGGCCCAGACUCCUACGGGAGGCAGCAGUAGGGAAUCUUCCGCAAUGGACGAAAGUCUGACGGAGCAACGCCGCGUGAGUGAUGAAGGUUUUCGGAUCGUAAAGCUCUGUUGUUAGGGAAGAACAAGUGCAAGAGUAACUGCUUGCACCUUGACGGUACCUAACCAGAAAGCCACGGCUAACUACGUGCCAGCAGCCGCGGUAAUACGUAGGUGGCAAGCGUUGUCCGGAAUUAUUGGGCGUAAAGGGCUCGCAGGCGGUUUCUUAAGUCUGAUGUGAAAGCCCCCGGCUCAACCGGGGAGGGUCAUUGGAAACUGGGAAACUUGAGUGCAGAAGAGGAGAGUGGAAUUCCACGUGUAGCGGUGAAAUGCGUAGAGAUGUGGAGGAACACCAGUGGCGAAGGCGACUCUCUGGUCUGUAACUGACGCUGAGGAGCGAAAGCGUGGGGAGCGAACAGGAUUAGAUACCCUGGUAGUCCACGCCGUAAACGAUGAGUGCUAAGUGUUAGGGGGUUUCCGCCCCUUAGUGCUGCAGCUAACGCAUUAAGCACUCCGCCUGGGGAGUACGGUCGCAAGACUG
rnacentral:rRNA from 1 species